AGCGAACGCUGGCGGCAGGCCUAACACAUGCAAGUCGAACGAACCUUUCGGGGUUAGUGGCGGACGGGUGAGUAACACGUGGGAACGUGCCUUUAGGUUCGGAAUAACUCAGGGAAACUUGUGCUAAUACCGAAUGUGCCCUUCGGGGGAAAGAUUAAUCGCCUUUAGAGCGGCCCGCGUCUGAUUAGCUAGUUGGUUGAGGUAAUGGCACACCAAGGCGACGAUCAGUAGCUGGUCUGAGAGGAUGAUCAGCCACAUUGGGACUGAGACACGGCCCAAACUCCUACGGGAGGCAGCAGUGGGGAAUCUUGCGCAAUGGGCGAAAGCCUGACGCAGCCAUGCCGCGUGAAUGAUGAAGGUCUUAGGAUUGUAAAAUUCUUUCACCGGGGACGAUAAUGACGGUACCCGGAGAAGAAGCCCCGGCUAACUUCGUG
rnacentral:rRNA from 1 species